UAAGGAAUAUUGCUCAAUGGGAGAAAUCCUGAAGCAGCAACGCCGCGUGGAGGAUGAAGGGUCUAUGACUUGUAAACUCCUGUAAAGAAGGAAAAGAUUCCCAUUUGAUGGGAGAUGAUGGUACUUCUGGAGUAAGCCCCGGCUAACUACGUGCCAGCAGCCGCGGUAAUACGUAGGGGGCAAGCGUUGUCCGGAUUUACUGGGUGUAAAGGGUGCUCAGGCGGAUUUGUAAGUCAGAGGUGAAAUCUUACAGCUUAACUGUGAAACUGCCUUUGAUACUGCAAGCCUAGAGUAUGGAAGAGAGUGAUGGAAUAUCUGGUGUAGCAGUGAAAUGCGUAGAUAUCAGAUAGAACACCAAUGGCGAAGGCAGUCACUUGGUCCAUUACUGACGCUAAAGCACGAAAGCGUGGGUAGCAAACA
rnacentral:rRNA from 1 species